AAAAGAAAAAUUCAAAUAAACACAUAACAAUUUUCACACUGACAAUUAACUUUACUUAAGAUCCACUCCCCAAAAACCUUCGAGAUAUCAGAUAAGGAGUGCCUCUCGCUUAGUUGGUCAGUUUCAGUGUCAGGAUAACCUUGUUAUGCAAUUUUCUUGCUGGGCAGAGUAGAGCUGCAGCUUAUCUAGGUCAAAAUUUGAAUUCAACUGAUGGGCAAGAAGUGCGCGCUGUUCAUAUUUAAUGUGUUUUCAAGAUAUAUACAAAAGGAAUAAGGCUGGAAUAUCAACUUCUGCUCAUUCAUCGUAUGGUUCAAUCAACCAGUGGUGAGGGAAGUGAUUGUAUAUAGUCAGCCUUGAUUGCAUCAGAUUCUUCGCCCGUGAAAAUUAUACAAAGGAAUGCAAUAUUUUGCUGUUGCUCUAGAGGGUGGAUUCUCCUGUUCAUUUCUUUCAUUCGUGGGACUUAACUACAGAUGUAUAUGCGUGAUUAAAAUCAAUGGAUCCGCCACUUUGUGAAACUUAGUAGUGUAAGACAGACGCGUACUUUGAAGAACCUUGAUGUGAUAACUGUGACCCCCUUUUCACUAGGAAUAUAAAUUUGUCAAGCAGUGAUUUUUGAGAUUCAUUGAUUGAAU